UGCGUUGGCCGGACGAUCGCGAGUACACUCGUGCUAUUGGUGAGGUAUUCGAGGAAAGUCCGGGCUCCAUGGACAGACUGCCAGGUAACGCCUGGGCACGGGGCAGCUCGUGACGGAAAGUGCCACAGAAAACAAACCGCCCGCUGGCAACAGUGUGGUAAGGGUGAAAUGGUGGGGUAAGAGCCCACCGCAUCGGCGGUAACGGCGAUGGCAUGGCAAACCCCAGUUGGAGCAAGGUCAAAUAGGCGGCGAGAGACAGUCCUUCUCGGCAAAAACGCCGCGGGUUGGCUGCUUGAGGGCGCUGGUGACAGCGCUCCUAGAGGAAUGAUCGUCCAGAUCGAAAGAUCUGACAGAACCCGGCUUACAGGCCAGCGUGCAUC
rnacentral:RNase_P_RNA from 1 species